GACGAACGCUGGCGGCGUGCUUAACACAUGCAAGUCGAACGGUAAGGCCCUUCGGGGUACACGAGUGGCGAACGGGUGAGUAACACGUGGGUGAUCUGCCCUGCACUUCGGGAUAAGCCUGGGAAACUGGGUCUAAUACCGGAUAGGACUCCGGACUGCAUGGUCUGGGGUGGAAAGCUUUUGGGGUGUGGGACGGGCCCGCGGCCUAGCAGCUUGUUGGUGGGGUGAUGGCCUACCAAGGCGACGACGGGUAGCCGGCCUGGGAGGGUGACCGGCCACACUGGGACUGAGGUACGGCCCAGACUCCUACGGGAGGCAGCAGUGGGGAAUAUUGCACAAUGGGCGCAAGCCUGAUGCAGCGACGCCGCGUGAGGGAUGACGGCCUUCGGGUUGUAAACCUCUUUCAGCACAGACGAAGCGCAAGUGACGGUAUGUGCAGAAGAAGGACCGGCCAACUACGUGCCAGCCGCCGCAGUAA
rnacentral:rRNA from 1 species